UGGGGAAUAUUGCACAAUGGACGAAAGUCUGAUGCAGCAACGCCGCGUGGAGGAUGACACAUUUCGGUGCGUAAACUCCUUUUAUAUAGGAAGAUAAUGACGGUACUAUAUGAAUAAGCACCGGCUAACUCCGUGCCAGCAGCCGCGGUAAUACGGAGGGUGCAAGCGUUACUCGGAAUCACUGGGCGUAAAGAGCGUGUAGGCGGAUAAUUAAGUCAGAUGUGAAAGCCAAUAGCUCAACUAUUGAACUGCAUUUGAAACUGAAUAUCUAGAAUAUGGGAGAGGUAGAUGGAAUUUCUGGUGUAGGGGUAAAAUCCGUAGAGAUCAGAAGGAAUACCGAUUGCGAAGGCGAUCUACUGGAACAUUAUUGACGCUGAGACGCGAAAGCAUGGGGAGCAAACAGG
rnacentral:rRNA from 1 species